GACCCGGACACAGGCUGAAGCCGGAAUUCCAGCCGGCCGAGGUUUGGGCGAGGAGUGACCCCCGGGCCGGAAGGGUCUGCGCGCAUGUGCACGUGUGCCUUGGAUGCGCCAGCAUUUGUGCAGCCGGGCGCACGUGGAGUCGUGUCCACUCGGAAUCCGUGCGCACCGGUGUCCGCAUCUGCCCCCAGCACCCCGGGCUCGCGCCCUCCCAGCGCGCUCAGAAACGCCGGAGCGCCACCUUCCGGCCGUGCGCUGCGAGUUCACCGCGGGCAGUUGGAGAGAGCAGGCCUGAGGCCCCACCCGCCGUGGCCCCGCCCCGUUCCGGGGCCCGCCCUCCAUUAGGGCGUGGCCAAUGAUGCAGAGGAGAAAACUGAGGGGAGAAAAAUGCAAGUAACCUGCUCAAGGUCACGAGAGAAGGAAGUGGCACAGCACCCCGGGCACACUCAACACCUUUCAGUGGCCAGUACACUCAUAUUUAGUCAACGAUUAAUUAAUAGUUAUUUAUGAGUCUAAACCCAUUCAACCCUCGCAGCCUUGAGUAGGUGUCCGGGCAGAACUCCACCCCCAGGGUUCUGAGGGGUCACCAGCUUCUUCCAAGGACAGGAAUCUGGAGUAGGAGAGGACUUCAAGGCCAAGCUCCCAGGUCUCUUGCUGUCAUGAUUUCCAUUCAUCUUCUACCACGUGACCCCAGAACCCAGUGAUACACAGCUCCAUUCUCACCACCACCGAUGGGCUGUGUGGCCUUCAGCAAAUUCCUUUACCUCUCUGAGCCUCCUUAGCCUCAUCUGGAAAAUGGGCUGACACCGUGUGCUGUCUCUGGCCCGGGUGUGGAGCUAGAACAGAGCUCAGGGCAGAAGAGAGGGAAUCUGCAGUCUGGGACCCGCCCCCCAGCAGGACCUUGGAGACUAGUGGUGUGCUGGUACCAGGUAGCAGGUCAUUUUGUAUUUUAUUUAUUUUUUAAAAGUCUUUUCUUUUUAGUUGUAGAUGGACACAAUACCUUUAUUUUGUUUUUAUUUUUAUGUGGUGCCGGGGAUGGAACCCAGUGCCUCACGCAUGCUAGGCAAGUGCUCUGUCACUGAGCCACAACCCUGGCCCCUGUAUUUUAUUUAGAGACAGGGUGUCACUGAGUUGCUUAGCACCUCGCCAUUGCUGAGGCUGACUUUGAACUCGCAAUCCUCCUGCCUCAGCCUCCUGAGCUGCUGGGAUUACAGGUGUCUGCCACCACACCUAACUUCGGUAGAAACAGACUUCCAACUGAUGAGUCGGCAUGGACCGGGACGGAAGUGGUCAAUUUCAUCCCAUCCUCAGGCCCAGGGCCCCAGUCAUGUAGCUGUAGGAAGAAAGUGCAGUGUCUUCACUGACCUGCAGACUGUCCCAUGCCCCCAGGGACAGACACAGCCUGAGGCUGAGGGAGAGCUGGGUGGCUGGAAUGUCCACCUCCAAAGACAUUUCAGGGCAGACAUGCCAGGGUGGGCAGCCCUACCCACUACCCCUCUCUCUCCCUGCACUGACGCACACACGUGCCCCUCUGAGGUCACAGCAGACACAGGAGUCAAGAGCCUGAAUCAAGAGGGGUGUCAACUGUGACCAGGGCGAGGAGGCCUGAGACUAGGGAGCUCUGAUCCGACAGCAGUGUCCCUUUGGUUUUGCCUGAUCGUCCUCCCCACACACGCACAGAUGUUCCAACCUCCCACCUGCCCAUCUGCCCUGACUUGGGCAGGUGUGUGCCAGGCUGAGCUAACCCGUUGAUUGUGCAUGCCCAGAUGCCCGGCGGGCCAUUUAACUCUCGAAGAAUCCCCUGCUGGAAGGGUGGAUGGAGAGACAGAUGAGUGAGUGGAGGAGUGGGCGGAUGGGCAGGUGGAGGGAUGAAUGACAGCUGUACGGAGGGACAGACAGACAAGUGAUGAAGUGCACCCUCUGAUGUUCGGUAUGGAGAUGGAUCAUGCUAAGGCCUGCUGUGUGCCCCGUUUUACAGACGACGAGACUGAGGCAGGGGUGAGCAGUGACAGAUGUGGGAUCACACAUCAAGUUCUCAUUCCUGAAACCAGGACCCCGUCUUCAGGAGGCACAGGGUUGUCAACACACCUCAAGGACCUGAGAUGGGGCUCUGGGCUCAGACCGCUCAUACGCAGGUGCUACCCCAGUUUUGGUGUUGAGGCAUCUGCCCGGCCCCUCCUGCUGUCCCAUCCAGGUCAUCCUGCGGCUGCUGCUGCUGAUCCUGCCCCAGGCCCACCUCUCAGUCCCCACCUGCUCCACUUAUGGUCCAGACCUCCCUCACGUCUUGGGCUGGACACGGCGCCGAGGUAGGGCGGCGGGUUGAUGCCCUCGAGCUCUCCCAGCCCGAGGUAAUUAAAGUGCAUGGUUAUGGAGAAGUUUGUAAUUAAACACUUGAGCAUCGUCAGACAUCCCAGCAUGACGCCUGAUGAAUUAAUUACGAGGAUGCCAGACCCUCAGGUCUGCGUCCUCACUGAGCGUGCAGGGGUGGCCCCGAGCCUCCGUGUGGGGAGGACGGAGUAGACCCAGCCACCGCCGCCUCCUGCCCACAGCCCUCCCCUGGCCCUCCUCCGGGCCCCCACCCCAAGCACCCAGCCUCCUCCCCACAUCCCCACUCCCCAGGAGCUGCAGACUCCAACUCCACAUGGUCCAGGUCAACCAUCUCAGCCACACCCAGCACCGUCCCCCACCCACCUGGUGGCACCCCUUCCCUUCACUGGCCUCUCCCGUGCCCACGUCCUGCCCCUCCCAGAUGUGACCACCCUCCCCAGGCAGCCACAUUGAUCCCAAAGCCCAGCACAGAGGGCGCUUCACCCCGGCCUCGGCUCCCUGACCCAGAGCCUCAGCAUAACCAGAAAAAAACUCAGACGAACCCCAAUCUGCAAAAAUUCCCCGACUGCUACCCCUCAGAGCGGCCAAGACAGAGCGGCAAGUCGAUGACAGUCAGUGUCCCCGAGGGAGGCACUUCAGAAAACGCUUAGCCAGGUGUGGUGGCGCACGCUGCGGUCCCAGUAGCACGGCAAGUUCAAGGCCAGCCUGGCGAGACCCUGUCUCAAAAUAAGAUAUGAAACAAAAG